CCGCUUUUACUUUCUACACUGCUUGUACUUAACUACAUUCAAAUAACGGCUGAAGGACGUACUACGUAAGAGUUCGUUCUACAUGGUCUUCCCAACAGUUGACGUAAAUUACAAGUACAUGCAGCUGACAGAAUAGACAGGUAGUACCUAAAGUGACCCUGUCCUCCGGGUGGCGGAUGCGUGUUCAAAUGACAAAGACGUACUUGAUAGCUACAACAGUUCCAACACGAACGACGUCUGUCCCAUUGACUAUAGUUUAUACCUUUUGACGUCGACUACCGGUUCGUACGAUAUCUGAUGUCGUACAAACCCCCGGGAGUUUUGAAACCUUUCACCUACCUGUACUUGAGUCGAGGCAGAAAGGGAUGACUCCGCUCCCGUGGACAACUCGUAGAUUAACCCGUCAAACGUAGGCCUUACUGGCCGAACGAGCCCUUCAACCAACUCCCCACCUGCAGGGAAUUACCGAGGCUGUCGCUGCGCCAACACUCCAUCAAGUGAUGUAAAUAGGGUCUUGCCUGUGUAGCAGGUUGACCAACGGCACCUGCCAUACUGAUGUCGUUAAGGGUUCUCGAACGAUUGUGUGUUCUACUUGAUCUACCUCUGCGACCAGAAUCAUUCCUACUGCUGCUACUGUGCCUCUUGCACGUUAUCCUGUGACUACUACUACUUAUACAACUUCAAGCACGUCCAUCAUUCUUCCCGUUCCUACGUGGUCUACAGGGGGUGGCCUCUUUCAGUUUCUUGUAUGCCGACGCUUUCCGCUCCCCCACAACGGUAGUUUCUCCCCCUCCCGAAGUCUCCUACAACCCGUCCCAAGAGGACCGUUCUCCAAAUCCUGGAUAGGGCAUCGACGAUCCUCCUCACUCCGCUGUCGACCACCUGCUCGUCAAUGCUUCUUUGUCCGUGGUUGCGGUUGGGCACAAAGACGAGCCAACUUGUUUCCACGGGGUAACAACCACUGUAGGGAAAGUGGUCCAGUAGAGGAGCAUGCUGCUACAGGUUGUAGCCCCUAGGACAGCACAACGAUCUGGACUCUUUCGGUCAGUUCUUCCACUUCUUCUGAUGAUAUGCGCCCCGGUUCGUAUAGUAAUCCCUGGGUGAGCUUGCGGAAGUAAGUUUCAACAGUUGUCCCCCGUUGAGUCUACAAGUACUCCGCGGUCAGCUGUUUUGACGACAAUGUAGCAAUUGACAAGGGUGAUUGAGACUGCGUUCACCGGCUGGUAGAGGCGGCCAACGUCUACACGUCCAAUCUUGUUGUCCGUAGGUAUGUAGUCCCUCACUGCUCAGCCAUAGACGAUCCUGUCGACUUUAUAACGGUUGAGAAGACCAUUACUUCCUACAACGACACUCGGUACGGUAGGGUAGUCGUUCGCAACUUCACCUGCGAGGGUUCUGGUUGGAUUCGUUCCUUCUAAGGGCGAGUAGACUGUGAUUAAGGUUCGCGCACACACCACCGUGAAGAUACAGAUGCUGUCUUCACCGACUCCGCCGUCAAGUAUUACUAUACGGUAGAUGUCCAUCCUCAGAACCGUGUUGUCGAGGUCGAGGACAGCCACGUCUAUGGGGAUUCCGCUGACAAAGUGCACGACCAGAAGGUGGCUCCACAGCAUCGGUGGCGUUCGUUAGUUGACUGUAUGGGUUGCGUGGUCGACAUCGAUCCUCAUCGUCUCUACUCAGACCAAUACAAGAACACAGGUGUGACAAGGACGGUGGAAGGUUUUCGUUACACUACCUCUUUGGCCUUCUGGCUUCGUGUUGACUACGUCCACAGUUCGGCCCGUGCUCACUGCGUCCACUUGCGGGCCUCGUCUGACGCGGAAAUGGGCGUCACCUUUAGGGGUCAAAUUUAGACGCGUGAAGGUCCGAGGGUCAGUUACAACCACAGGGAAUGUCGGGUUUGUUCUUCUAAUAGUUCCUUCGACGCCGACUAUGACGACUGUUAUGCGGGGCGGGAUGUUUAUUCAGGCUAGUAAGACAUCGCCGGCUAAGUCUAUACAAACAACUAGAAAGUGGGUACCUAAGGCGGGGCGUUCAACAAGUGCCAGGCCGGUCAUCCGUACUCUCCGUGGGUUACCGGAAGUGGGGUAGCUCGAAGUCGGAACCGUAGUCAGUUCUAGUUGGUCACCACGGUCUAGAAUACGGUCAACGGAAACGAAAGAGCCCUCCGUACGGGCGUUACUACCGCGUUGGUUACCAGCUCCCGUCCUUCCAACAGUUCAAGCGUCUCGGCUAGCAGGUUCCGUGGGGACUCUUCUAAAGUGGCAGUGAACUACCUCGAAUGGCGUCCUAGCUCCUCCGUCGUAACGUCUCCUCCAGGAGUGCUCCAGUCCCCGUUAGUUCAAGGUUACACGGACGUCUAUGCCAUAGACUCCUAUGGUAAUCCUCACGGUGGGGACCAAGACGCUCCGUCGUCUCCCAUCAAGUGGGUGGAGGGCGCCUUCUGAUGCUCGGGCUUCAGUCCCGGUGUUUCUUUGUCUGGGUCAACAUGCUAUAACAGUUCGCUAAACUUUUACGCUCCUGGUCGUCGUUCGUGUACUUCCUCGACUUUCGUUGGUUCCAGUAAGUUACGCUUCGCUGUAUGCAACUGGACCCACUAGAACGGCUCAGGCACUCCGGUUUGCCAUUUUACAGCUGCUUACAUCAACGUACGCCCUAACUGAUGUAGUUGUUCGUAUACCUAUACAGAGGGCUGUUUUGUUAGUACGUAAUGUCACACUGGACGUUUUAUACCCUACCACUGAAAGUGGUGUUUUAGGACUCUUUCUUAAAACGAGUUGUGCCAGUUAAGUUCGAGUGUGACUUCUUUAUACAGGACAAGGAGUACAAGGUCCUCGAACGUGGUGUGCUGGGUGUGCUGUUCACACCAGUGGUGAUGCACUAAACAGAACUGGAUUUCUUGGUUACGAAACUCCACGAACUAAGUUACACAAGCCGUCGGCUACGUCUGGAAUGAAGCGUACGACUUAAGAAGUAGUUGUUGCAGUUUCUCUGUACCUUGGCAGUGAUGCUUUUGAGUUUCCAGGUCUAGUCUGUAAAAGGCUAACUCUGCCUGACACCGAAAGUGUGCAACUUUAUGGAACGUUUCACCCUUCCAUCUGAACAAGGGCGACAGUGUCGACGUUGCCAGCAACUCGAGACCUUUAAAAUGUGUACCUUGACCAACUGCUUACUUCUAAAGUUGUUCGCCAGGCCUCGUGCGCUCAAGCACCUCCUUUGACUGUUCUUUCAGUAGUUCUUCAUGUUCACUAGUGUACCGUAAUGUGUGACCUGCGUAUGGAAUGUAAGACAACGGCUCCUUACAUUCCAUGAUGUAAGACAAGAAGAGUUUGUGAUACAAGCACACGAUACGAUACUGACGUUGGGGCUCAUCGGAUCAUGCGUCACCACCAAGCACUCACUGUAAACUUAUAAAAGACAUUAUAAAACACACCUAUACUUGGAUAAAGUCCACACUAUC
rnacentral:rRNA from 1 species